rnacentral:rRNA from 1 species
GACGAACGCUGGCGGCGUGCCUAAUACAUGCAAGUAGAACGCACAGUUUAUACCGUAGCUUGCUACACCAUAGACUGUGAGUUGCGAACGGGUGAGUAACGCGUAGGUAACCUGCCUGGUAGCGGGGGAUAACUAUUGGAAACGAUAGCUAAUACCGCAUAAUAUUGAUUAUUGCAUGAUAAUUGAUUGAAAGAUGCUAUUGCAUCACUACCAGAUGGACCUGCGUUGUAUUAGCUAGUAGGUGAGGUAACGGCUCACCUAGGCGACGAUACAUAGCCGACCUGAGAGGGUGAUCGGCCACACUGGGACUGAGACACGGCCCAGACUCCUACGGGAGGCAGCAGUAGGGAAUCUUCGGCAAUGGACGAAAGUCUGACCGAGCAACGCCGCGUGAGUGAAGAAGGUUUUCGGAUCGUAAAGCUCUGUUGUAAGAGAAGAACGGGUGUGAGAGUGGAAAGUUCACACUGUGACGGUAUCUUACCAGAAAAGGACGGCUAACUACGU